AGCGAGAAAAUCAAUCGUAGCGGGCGAGUGAGCGGCAGAGCUCAGAUUUGAAAUCGCCUCGGCGAGUUGUAAAUUGCAGGUUGGAGUCUUUGUGGCGGCGUGUGUCUAAGUCCCUUGGAACAGGGCGCCAUUGAGGGUGAGAGCCCCGUGCGGCACGCGUCCAAGCUUUAAGACCCUUCUGACGAGUCGAGUUGUUUGGGAAUGCAGCUCUAAGUGGGUGGUAAAUUCCAUCUAAGGCUAAAUACUGGCGAGAGACCGAUAGCGAACAAGUACUGUGAAGGAAAGAUGAAAAGCACUUUGAAAAGAGAGUGAAACAGCACGUGAAAUUGUUGAAAGGGAAGGGUAUUGGGCUCGACAUGGGGACUGCGCACCGUUGCUUCUUGUAGGCGGCGCUCUGUGCGGUUUCUGGGCCAGCAUCAGUUUUUGCCGCGGGAGAAUGGGGGGAGGAACGUGGCUCUUCGGAGUGUUAUAGCCUCUCUCACAUGCCGCGAGCGGGGACUGAGGUCUGCGAUUCGUUCAAGGAUGCUGGGACAACGGCCCAAUACCGUUUAUUAAAAAACCACAUAAAAGAAUAAAAAU
rnacentral:rRNA from 1 species